AACGAAGGCUGGCGGCAUGCCUAACACAUGCAAGUCGAACGAGACCUUCGGGUCUAGUGGCGCACGGGUGCGUAACGCGUGGGAACCUGCCCUUAGGUUCGGAAUAACUCCCCGAAAGGGGUGCUAAUACCGGAUAAUGUCUUCGGACCAAAGAUUUAUCGCCUUUGGAUGGGCCCGCGUUGGAUUAGCUAGUUGGUAGGGUAAAAGCCUACCAAGGCGACGAUCCAUAGCUGGUCUGAGAGGAUGAUCAGCCACACUGGGACUGAGACACGGCCCAGACUCCUACGGGAAGCAGCAGUGGGGAAUAUUGGACAAUGGGCGAAAGCCUGAUCCAGCAAUGCCGCGUGAGCGAUGAAGGCCUUAGGGUUGUAAAGCUCUUUUACCCGGGAUGAUAAUGACAGUACCGGGAGAAUAAGCUCCGGCUAACUCCGUG
rnacentral:rRNA from 1 species